AACAGUAGGUAAGAGAAAAAUUGACUUCACCCAAAUUUGAGCACGGAAACAUCCCCUCCCCAUUCCUUUUUCAUUUCACUUCUCAUUUCCACUCAAAUUAAAACUCCAUGAUUUUCAUUUUUACUAAAAUCAAACCUUACAUAUUUUUUUUUUUCAAACCCUAACAUCAUCAAAAUCCCUUUUCCUUCACCCUAUGAUAGAACCCCAAGCUAAUCCCAAUCAAACCCUAAUCAAGCAAUAGAACUCUAGCAUUAGAAAAUCAGUGGGGCUCGCGAAGCUACAGUUGAAGUGGGUGGAAGAGCGAGGUCGUAGAGUUUAACAGAGUCGUCGGCAACGACGACGACAACGGUGGGAUUUAACGGAGUCAUCGGCAACGGUGGAAUCGUGAGAUUCGGACCAAGUGACGUUGUAGAUUCAGUCGGCGGUGUCGUAUGCGACGAUUUCGGAGAUUGGGAGAGUGGGGUAAGAGGAGAGUUCGAGACGACUGUUACUGAGGAUGCCGAAGUUUUGGGCGGUGGCAAUGGCUAUGGGGUUUUCGUAGAAUGGGCUGAACUUGAUGGAGUAACUGUUGAACGGGGUUUUCAAAACCAGCAUGGUUUUGAGAAUCAAAGUUUAGUUAGGAGAAAAAGUGAGUGUUAGGUGUUUGAUGUUAUGCUGCUGAGGUUGGUUCUAUUUGAUUCGUCAUAUGUUUGUCCAUAAGGUGUUUGAAGAUUGAUAUGUAGUGGCAUCUAUGCAAAUGCAAGAUUGAAGAUUACAGAGCUAGGUUAAUUUCCGGCUAGUUCAGAUCUUUAAUAGUAGAAAUAAGUAUUGGUUUCUCAACAAGCUGAAGCAUUGAAAAUCACAUUGAUCUUAAAGUCGGAAUGUAUUGGAGAGACAUGGGGAUAGACUAUUAGGAUGACGCUACAUGGAAUGAAGAAAUGGAGAAACAUGAGGUAAGGAUCUUUGCAUUUCUAUCGAAAAUAAAAAAGUGUCCUUUGUUAUUUCAUUAACAUAACCUUGUAAAUUUUUAUUAACACCUUCCUUAACAAUACCCUUCAUAAGUUUAGUGAGUUUGCAUAUUGUGGUUUCACUUCCAUUGGAAAGUGAAAGAAUUGCUGAGAUUUAUAAAUAAAAAGAAAAUGGGGUGCAUCAUAUAGUGGGGACUUAUAAUAGAAAGAAACGUCGAGAACCACGGUCGCCAUUCAGGCAACUGUUGUCAUUCAAAGAAGAGAUGCUGAAACUAAUAGAGGUAAUAUUAUUGUACAUUUAAAUUACUUUUAGAUUUAAAUUACUUUUAGUCAAAAGUUGUAAUAUAAUUGAUAGUGUUUAGUAACUGAUAGUAUUUAUGAAUCUUUUUAAUGUUAUUUGUAUUGUAUUGUGAAAUGAGAAACAUAGAUAGGAGGUA